rnacentral:rRNA from 1 species
UACGUAGGGAGCAAGCGUUGUCCGGAAUCAUUGGGCGUAAAGCGCGCGUAGGCGGCCCUGUAAGUCCGUUGUGAAAGUCAAAGGCUCAACCUUUGAAAGCCGAUGGAUACUGCAGGGCUAGAGUCCGGAAGAGGCGAGUGGAAUUCCUGGUGUAGCGGUGGAAUGCGCAGAUAUCAGGAGGAACACCAAUAGCGAAGGCAGCUCGCUGGGACGUUACUGACGCUGAGGCGCGAAAGCGUGGGGAGCAAACAGG